UAGUAGACAGGUGCAUAAACU
rnacentral:siRNA from 1 species